rnacentral:tRNA from 1 species
AGUAUUACGCCGGAUGAACGGAAAUCAUUGAUGUUGAUUAACAUGUGGCUAAAAGUCUCUGAUACUA